rnacentral:lncRNA from 1 species
GAACGCAAACGCGGCACUCUACGUGACAAAGGGGAAGGCUCAUAUACAGAUGGUGAACGACAACGGACAAAGAGUGUUCGACCAAGAGAUCUCCAAGGGACAGUUACUUGUCGUGCCACAAGGCUUCGCGGUCGUGAAACGUGCCACAAGCCAACAGUUCCAGUGGAUCGAAUUCAAGAGCAACGACAACGCGCAGAUCAACACACUCGCGGGACGCACCUCAGUCAUGAGAGGUUUACCACUUGAAGUUAUAUCCAACGGGUAUCAGAUCUCACCCCAAGAAGCUAGAAGUGUUAAGUUCAGCACCCUUGAGACCACAUUGACUCAAAGCAGUGGUCCUAUGGGCUACGAUAUGCCUAGGGUCGAGGCUUGAAGCAUGAGUUAGUGAUGUAACAGCGUUUGAAUGUUCGGUUUUGUACGGUUUGUGAUAAAAAUAAUGUACAAAAGAAGUUCUACGCUUUAAGGCAGCUGUUUUGUUUUUGAGUUUUUAAGGACGCCUAGUUUACAACAACGACCGUCGUAUAGAAGCGAUCGUUGACACAGGCAUGUAACUCUUUGCUGAAUAAAAUCAUAGUUAAUCUUUCUCCU